rnacentral:lncRNA from 1 species
UUAAUCCUUAAAUGACAUAACUUAACAAACUGAACUGAAAAUAAGAAAACCAAGUUAACCAAAUUGUUAUCAUAAUUCAUAUUUGGUAUUCCUUAUAAGGUUUGUACUUUUGCCAACAUUGUAUGCACUAUUACAAAAUGUAAAUACAAUCCAACUCCGCGAUUUGCAUAAGUAAACAACAAUUACUUUUAGUUCAAGGAAGCAUAUGCAUUUGAAAAGCACAAUGAUACAUCUGCUUUACACAUUUUCUUUCUACUUACCUAAAUAACUAAAGAUCGAACUUAGAGCAGCUGGAGGUCAAAUUUUUGAACAAACUUAAACUAGUAAAACUCAUAAUUAAGUAGAAAAAUUGAACAAAAAUUUUACCAAAACCCAAAGCAGUGCUAUUUGUAUUAAAAAGAAACUCUAGAUUUGAACAAAAUAUUUAUUUGUUUGUAGAUGACAAACAAAUAAAUAUUUUCACUAUGAACAAACAUUAGAUUUGAACAAAGAUUAGUAGAAAAAUUAGAAUGGCAAGUUCUACUUUACGCCCACAUUU